GAUGAAGAACGCAGCGAAAUGCGAUAAGUAAUGCGAAUUGCAGAAUCCGUGAGUCAUCGAAUCUUUGAACGCACCUUGCGCUCCUUGGUAUUCCGAGGAGCAUGCCUGUUUGAGUGUCAUUAAUAUAUCAACCUUCUCUUUUUUGAGUUGUUUGGAUGUGGGGGUUUGCUGGCCUCUUAAAUGAUUCAGCUCCCCUGAAAUGCAUUAGCAGAACAACCUGUUCAUUAGCGUGAUAAUUAUCUAUGCUAUUGAAUGUGAGGGCAGUUCAGCUUUCUAACCGUCCUUGGACAAUUCAUCAUUAAUGUGACCUCAAAUCAGGUAGGACUACCCGCUGAACUUAAGCAUAUCAAUAAGCGGAGGA
rnacentral:misc_RNA from 1 species